CUGAAACGAUGGUUCCCUUAUGAUCACCGAAGUUAAGCAACAUUAAGCAUGGUCAGUAGCAAGAUGGGUGAGUGCUUGGGAAUUCCAGGUGCUGUAAG